GACGAACCGAGCGAACGUUGUUCGGAAUCACUGGGCUUAAAGGGCGCGUAGGCGGGGGCUCAAGUCUGGGGUGAAAUCCUCCGGCUCAACCGGAGAACUGCCAUGGAUACUGGGUGCCUCGAGGGUGGUAGGGGUAUGCGGAACUAUCGGUGGAGCGGUGAAAUGCGUUGAUAUCGAUAGGAACUCCGGUGGCGAAGGCGGCAUACUGGACCACUUCUGACGCUGAGGCGCGAAAGCCAGGGGAGCAAACGGG
rnacentral:rRNA from 1 species